UAUGGCCAUACCACCCUGAAUGUGCCUGAUCUCGUCUGAUCUCAAAAACUAAGCAGGGUUGGGCCUGGUUAGUAUUAAUACUUGGAUGGGAGAAAAGCAGGACAAAAGAAAGCCAUCA
rnacentral:rRNA from 1 species